rnacentral:lncRNA from 1 species
UUGGGGGGGGGGGGGGGGGGGGGGGGGGGGGGGGGGGGGGGCGGGGGGGGGGGGGGGGGGGGGGGGGGGGGGGGGGGGGGGGGGGGGGGGGGUGGGGGGGGGGGGGGGGGGGGGGGGGGGGGGGGGGGGGGGGGGGGGGGGGGGGGGGGGGGGGGGGGGGGGGGGGGGGGGGGGGGGGGGGUCGGGGGGGGUUGGGGGGGGGGGGGGGGGGGGGGGGGGGG